AGGUUACUGCUAUCGGUGUUCGAUUAAGCCAUGCGAGUUAAAUGUUCUUCGUGAACAUAGCGAACUGCUCAGUAACACGUGGACAAUCUGCCCUUGGGUUCGGGAUAACUCCGGGAAACUGGAGAUAAUACCGAAUAAGCCAUUGAAGCAGGAAUGCUCUUUGGUUCAAAGUUCCGGCGCCCAAGGAUGAGUCUGCGGCCUAUCAGGUUGUAGUGGGUGUAACGUACCUACUAGCCGACGACGGGUACGGGUUGUGAGAGCAAGAGCCCGGAGAUGGAUUCUGAGACAUGAAUCCAGGCCCUACGGGGCGCAGCAGGCGCGAAAACUUUACGAUGCGGGAAACCGCGAUAAGGGGACACCGAGUGCCAGCAUACUAUGUUGGCUGUCCACAUGUGUAAAUAGCAUGUGUUAGCAAGGGCCGGGCAAGACCGGUGCCAGCCGCCGCGGUAACACCGGCGGCCCGAGUGGUAAUCACUAUUAUUGGGUCUAAAGGGUCCGUAGCCGGUUUAAUCAGUCUUCCGGGAAAUCUGACAGCUCAACUGUUAGGCUUCCGGGGGAUACUGUUAGACUUGGGACCGGGAGAGGUAAGAGGUACUACAGGGGGUAGGAGUGAAAUCUUGUAAUCCCUGUGGGACCACCAGUGGCGAAGGCGUCUUACCAGAACGGGUCCGGCCGGUGAGGGACGAAAGCUGGGGGCACGAACCGGAUUAGAUACCCGGGGUAGUCCCAGCCGUAAACGAUGUUCGCUAGGUGUCUGGAAUGGUGCGACCGUUUCAGGUGCCGCAGGGAAGCCGUGAAGCGAGCCACCUGGGGAAGUACGUACGCAAGUAUGAAACUUAAAGGAAUUGGCGGGGGGAGCACCACAAGGGGUGAAGCCUGCGGUUCAAUUGGAGUCAACGCCGGGAAU
rnacentral:rRNA from 1 species